UGCGAAGGGGGCUAGCGUUGUUCGGAAUUACUGGGCGUAAAGCGCGCGCAGGCGGUCUUCCAAGUCAGUGGUGAAAGCCCGGAGCUCAACUCCGGAACUGCCAUUGAAACUGUAAGACUUGAGGAUGAGAGAGGUGAGUGGAAUUCCCAGUGUAGAGGUGAAAUUCGUAGAUAUUGGGAAGAACACCGGUGGCGAAGGCGGCUCACUGGCUCAUUUCUGACGCUCAGGCGCGACAGCGUGGGGAUCAAACAGG
rnacentral:rRNA from 1 species